GGAAAAUCCUUUUUGCUUUGCUUAGCCUUAUUAUGAAGAUCGUAUUUGGUCAAACCAUGACUAACAGUGCCAACUAAGCAUUUAAAUUCUCUUUUUUCGGAGGAUUUCAUUAACCCAUUACUCGAAUUGGCAAAUUGGCAAUCAGUCUAUAAGCUCUACUUUACAACAACUUUAAUUCAUUUACAUGUGUAAUCAAUUGAUAAAUAAUUUUUUAUUUAC
rnacentral:misc_RNA from 1 species